rnacentral:lncRNA from 1 species
UAUAAACUGUGCUGAGUGGUCAUCUCUGGUGGAUUCCUUGUAACAUUUUGGAAGCCCCAGUGAGAUCCCCAGACAGAGACUGGACUCUGACACAGGACUUGGGACUGCCAGGAAUGGGGAAGAGAGUACAAGCUGGAGAGGACUCCUAGAGGGUGAGCACUCCGAGAGGUUCCAGGGAGCUGGAAAAAUCCUGUGCAACUGUCACUGCUGAGAGUGCUCCAGAGGCGAUGCAGUCCCCAAAAGAGAAAUCAAAAGUCAUCUGCUCUGAACAUCUUGUAGGUAUGGUGUGAGUCCUGAGAACAUUAUCCUCUACGGACAGAGCAUUGGCACUGUCCCCACUGUGGACCUGGCCUCGCGGUAUGAGUGUGCAGCCGUCAUCCUCCAUUCCCCUCUGAUGUCUGGAUUGCGUGUUGCUUUUCCAGAUACCAGGAAAACUUACUGCUUUGAUGCUUUCCCCAGCAUUGACAAGAUAUCUAAAGUCACCUCUCCUGUGUUGGUCAUUCACGGUACCGAGGAUGAGGUCAUCGAUUUCUCGCAUGGCUUGGCGAUGUAUGAGCGCUGUCCCCGUGCUGUAGAGCCCCUGUGGGUUGAGGGGGCUGGGC